CCCAACCCCCGGAGACCACAGCGGGGCAGAGCCCUCAACCACCCAGGUGUGGGGCUGACCUGAGCAGACACAGGCUUCUGGAGGAGUGAUCUGAGCAGCGUGCAGGAGCGCAGAGGUGGUUUUAUCAAAGCCCGCGGACAGGACCCACGAGUGGCGUCCACCAUUCUGUUCCUGCGGCAUCCUGCCCACCGGGGCCGCCAAACAAACCUCCUCAGCCCGGGCGGCUUGGGUUUCUGUCGUGGAGGCUGGGAUUCAAAUGCAAGUGAGGGAGAUGUUCUGGAACCAGAUGAUGGUCACACACCCCUGCAAAUGUAGGAAAACCUACUGACCGGGACACGUUGAAAGGAUGAGUGUAACAUGUGCGUGAAUUACACCUCCAUAAAGCAGGUAGAAGCCACCACCGAGCUCCCCGACGAACACAAACCGUGAGGGGGUAGAGUUUUGCAGGCAGGCUGGCCGCCCACCCCCGGAUUCCACGACAGGUGCUUACACGGGACCUUGACCUUCCUUUCUGUGUGGCACGCACAGCGUCACCGCACCCAGACCCACGCCGCACGCUGCCCCGCGCCCUCGCACCGCCUGGUCACCAUGUCACACUGUGGCUUCCAGGGGCCCCGGACCGCACUGCUCAUCAGCCCCGCCGGGGCCCUGCUGCUGGUGCGCGGACCGCCCUGUGGGUAGAAGACAGGAGGCUCUUCCCACCUCCGUGUGGGGUCCUCCCUCGUUGGGGUGCCGCCCGUGCACAGUAGGGAGGGAGCCGCACGCCAGGCCCCCGGCCACUCCGCGCCCACAGCGUCCCCUCUCCCCAGACGGCCUCUGCUCAUUGACAAGCGUCCCGAGGGGUGGCGGACAAAAUGGUGCCAGUGGGGAGCCCGCAGU